rnacentral:misc_RNA from 1 species
AACGCACAUUGCGCCCGCUGGUAUUCCGGCGGGCAUGCCUGUUCGAGCGUCAUUAUGACCAAUUAAAAUCAGUGACGGUGCCGUCUGGCUCUAAGCGUAGUAAUACUUUUCGCUAUAGAGUUUAGUCGUCCGCCCGUUAGAAUCUUCAACUUUCUUAGGUUGACCUCGGAUCAGGUAGGGAUACCCGCUGAACUUAA